rnacentral:rRNA from 1 species
GAGUUUGAUCCUGGCUCAGAAUCAACGCUGGCGGCGCGCCUAACACAUGCAAGUCGAACGAGAAAGUGGAGUAAUCCAUGAGUACAGUGGCGUACGGGUGAGUAACACGUGGGUAAUCUACCUCUUAGUGAGGAAUAACCCUGGGAAACCGGGGCUAAUACCGCAUAAGCCUGAGAAGGGAAAGCAGCAAUGCGCUGAGAGAGGAGCCCGCGGCCGAUUAGCUAGUUGGUGGGGUAAGAGCCUACCAAGGCAGAGAUCGGUAGCCGGCCUGAGAGGGCACACGGCCACACUGGCACUGAAACACGGCCCAGACUCCUACGGGAGGCAGCAGUGGGGAAUUGUUCGCAAUGGGCGCAAGCCUGACGACGCAACGCCGCGUGGAGGAUGAAGGUCUUCGGAUUGUAAACUCCUGUUGCCCGGGACGAAAAGCUUCGACCUAACACGUCGAAGUCUGACGGUACCGGGUGAGGAAGCCCCGGCUAACUCUGUGCCAGCAGCCGCGGUAAUACAGAGGGGGCAAGCGUUGUUCGGAAUUACUGGGCGUAAAGGGCGCGUAGGCGGCCUGCUAAGUCGAACGUGAAAUCCCCGGGCUCAACCCGGGAACUGCGUCCGAUACUGGCAGGCUUGAAUCCGGGAGAGGGAUGCGGAAUUCCAGGUGUAGCGGUGAAAUGCGUAGAUAUCUGGAGGAACACCGGUGGCGAAGGCGGCAUCCUGGACCGGCAUUGACGCUGAGGCGCGAAAGCCAGGGGAGCAAACGGGAUUAGAUACCCCGGUAGUCCUGGCCCUAAACGAUGAAUGCUUGGUGUGGCGGGUAUCGAUCCCUGCCGUGCCGAAGCUAACGCAUUAAGCAUUCCGCCUGGGGAGUACGGUCGCAAGGUUGAAACUCAAAGGAAUUGACGGGGGCCCGCACAAGCGGUGGAGCAUGUGGUUCAAUUCGACGCAACGCGAAGAACCUUACCCAGGCUUGAACUGCGAGUGACACCCUACGAAAGUAGGCUUCCGCAAGGACACUCGUAGAGGUGCUGCAUGGCUGUCGUCAGCUCGUGUCGUGAGAUGUUGGGUUAAGUCCCGCAACGAGCGCAACCCUUGUCUUCUGUUGCCAUCGGGUCAAGCCGGGCACUCUGAAGAGACUGCCGGUGACAAACCGGAGGAAGGUGGGGAUGACGUCAAGUCAGCAUGGCCUUUAUGUCUGGGGCCACACGCGUGCUACAAUGGCCGGUACAAACCGUUGCAAACUCGCGAGGGUGAGCUAAUCGGAGAAAGCCGGUCUCAGUUCGGAUUGUAGGCUGCAACUCGCCUGCAUGAAGUUGGAAUCGCUAGUAAUCGCGGAUCAGCACGCCGCGGUGAUACGUUCCCGGGCCUUGUACACAC